UUCGAGGGGACACUUUUACAAACACUCAAUCCCCUUCCUCAAACUCUAAGGGCCUUCUCCUUUUGUCUGCAUAACUUUUCUAUCUAUCUUGGGCAGUCUUAAGUUUUUCCUUGAUGAGUUGUAUCUUAUCUAUAGUCUCUUGGACAAUCUCAGGUCCCAACAAACGACUCUCACCCAUCUCUAUCCAACACAAGGGCGAUCUACAAGGUC
rnacentral:lncRNA from 1 species